rnacentral:tRNA from 2 species
AGAAAUUUAGGUUAAACAUUCAAACCAAGAGACUUCAAACCUCUAAACAGGGAAUAGCCCUAAUUUCUG